rnacentral:rRNA from 1 species
CCUACGGGGGGCAGCAGUGAGGAAUAUUGGUCAAUGGACGAGAGUCUGAACCAGCCAAGUAGCGUGAAGGAUGACUGCCCUAUGGGUUGUAAACUUCUUUUAUAUGGGAAUAAAACGUUCCACGUGUGGGAUUUUGUAUGUACCAUAUGAAUAAGGAUCGGCUAACUCCGUGCCAGCAGCCGCGGUAAUACGGAGGAUCCGAGCGUUAUCCGGAUUUAUUGGGUUUAAAGGGAGCGUAGGUGGAUUGUUAAGUCAGUUGUGAAAGUUUGCGGCUCAACCGUAAAAUUGCAGUUGAAACUGGCAGUCUUGAGUACAGUAGAGGUGGGCGGAACUCGUGGUGUAGCGGUGAAAUGCUUAGAUAUCACGAAGAACUCCGAUUGCGAAGGCAGUUCACUGGACUGCAACUGACACUGAGGCUCGAAAGUGUGGGUAUCAAACAGGAUUAGAUACCCGUGUAGUC